rnacentral:tRNA from 1 species
GGUUAUAGCUCAGUGGUAGAGUGCCUGCCUUGGAUGUGUGAAACACUGGGUUCAAUCCUCAGCAUCA